CCGAGGAAGCGACAGUCAUCCGCUUGCAAAUAUAUGUUCGCCUUUAACCGGGCGGCUAUAUGAGUAAGCAUUUUACCUUGAGAAAAACAGAGUGUUCCAGGCAGGUUUGUCCGGAAUGCAUUAGCAUGGAAUAAUAGAAUAUGACUGAAGUCGAUUUAUUGGUUUGAGGCUUUAGUAAUGAUUAAUAGGAACAGUCGGGGGCAUUGGUACUUGUCAGUCAGAGGUGAAAUUCUAGGAUUUGACAAAGACUAACAAAUGCGAAAGCAUUUGCCAAGGAUGUUUUCAUUAAUCAAGAACGAAAGUUAGGGGAUCAAAGACGAUCAGAUACCGUCCUAGUCUUAACUAUAAACUAUACCGACUCGGAUUCAGAUGAAUCAAAAAGUUCAUUUGGGACCGUAGGAGAAAUCAAAGUUUUUGGGUUCUGGGGGAAGUAUGGUCGCAAGGCUGAAACUUAAAGGAAUUGACGGUUUUGCACCACCAUGGAGUGGAGUCUGCGGCUUAAUUUGACUCAACACUGGGAAACUCAUCAGGGCAAGAAGAUUUUAGGAUUGACAGAUUGAGAGUUCUUUCUUGAUUGGUCUAGUGGUGGUGCAUGGCCGUUCUUAGUUGGUGGAGUGAUUUGUCUGGUUAAUUCCGUUAACGAACGAGACCUUAACCUGCUAACUAGUACUUCGAUGACAAAUCGAUGUUACUUCUUAGAGGGACUAUGUG
rnacentral:rRNA from 1 species